rnacentral:snRNA from 1 species
AUGCCUGCUUUGGCAGCAUAUAUCUUAAUAUUUGAAUGAUACAGAGAUUAGUUUGGCCUCUGUGCAAGGGAUGACAAACAAAUUUGUGAAAACAUUUUCAUAUUUUU